AUGAGUCUAUUCUCGCGAACCAACACAUCGUCAAUGAUGGCAUGCCUCAACCCCUUAGAGCAUGGCCAAUGGACCACGCUGGACGGGCGCCCCAGGUGCCACAUCCUCCUGCUGAGUGCCACCUACACCAAAACCGUGGCCUGCAGAGCGAAACUGGCUCCGGCAGAAGAACCGAGUUCUUCCCUGACGAAAGCAACGAGGCGGCCGCUCGGGCGACGCGGUGGGAGGUCUGUCGCUCCAAUCGAUUCGGGACCACGCGCGCCCAACAAAAUCCCGCGAGCGAGAGAGGGGAAAGGCGCGAAAGGAGAAGGAAAGGGCGGGAAGGGGAGAAGGAAGGGCGCGAGCCAAGGAGCAGAGGCGCGGCGCGAACCAGGGAGCGGAAGCGCGGCCGGCGUGCGAACGAGCGGAGAAGACGGCGCAUCCUCGCCCUCAACCUGCCGUCGACAUCGUCGAUUCCAACUCUCGCAGCAAGGUCCAAUGGAAUAUCGUCCUCCUAAUGGUUUCAUGAGCUUCCUUCAAGACCAAAGUCACCCCAACUUCACCUUGCCAGCCCCGCAGCAACUUGGUUUCCAAUAUCCAAUGUUCUGCACGCAGCCACCGCCGCCACCAGCCAAGCACCACUCUCUUCCAUCACCAUCUGAUCCCAGGACCACAACUCCAUCGAACAAGCGAAAACGAGUUACAAUUGAUGUGGAAGCAGAUGAUGAAGAUAGGCACAGGUUGUAUUAUACAAAAGAUGAGGAUAUCAGAUUGGUGAGUGCUUGGUUGCGCAACUCUGUGAAUCCUAUCGAUGGGAAUGCAAAGAAGGGAGAAUACUACUGGAAGGAGGUUGCUGAUGCAUACAACAGCACAACUGAGAGUGACCGAAAGAGGGAUGUGAAGCACCUGAAGAACCAUUGGUACAAAACAACAAAGAAGGUAACCUCUUUCAAUGGCUGCUAUAACCAGAUCAGAGACACCUAUGCGAGUGGCCGGUGUGAUCAACAACUGAUGCAACAAGCUCUAGACCUGUACCAUAGCCGCAAUGGACACCAGUUCAUGUAUGUGCAUUGGUGGGAAGCUGUGAAGGAAAGCCAAAAGUGGAAGAUUCAUGUAUACACAGAAGGAGAUGGAACAAAAAGGUCACCACCAGUCCCAACUGAGAAUGCUCAGCGUCCCCCGGGUGUCAAGAGGGCGAAGAAAGCUAUAGGAAAAGACAAGGAAGCCCCUACUGAGAUGAAUAACAUGCAAGAACAGAUUGGGGCUUUUCUAAAAGCACAAGCUGACACUAAGGCACAAACUGAUGAGACGAUGGAAUUGCAGAGUCGUCUAUCUGCUCAGAAGGUAGAAGCUAACCGACUUGCAUAUGAGGCAGCAAAGGAGAGGAUAGUGGCAAAGUUAGCUGAGGAAAGAACCAAGCUGUUUGACAAGUUCACAGAGAUGCUGAAUACCGACACUACAAGGAUGGAGCCAUGGGCAAAGGAGAUGCAUGUGAGGGCUGUCACAAGACUGGGGGAUCAACUUUUCAAGGAUGAAUAG
rnacentral:rRNA from 1 species